GGCCCAGUAGCUUAGUAGAGCACUGCACCGGAAAGGCAGGAGGCCCAGGUUCAAUCCCUGGUUUGGCCG
rnacentral:tRNA from 1 species